UCAUAUAAUGUUGAAGCACCGGUUCUCGUACGAUCUCCAAAGUUAAGCAACGUCGAGCCUGGUCAGUACCGAGAUGCGUAUCCGCUUGGGAAUACGAGGUGCUGUAAG